GACGUAGGGCGCGAGCGUUGUCCGGAUUUAUUGGGCGUAAAGAGCUCGUAGGCGGCUUGUCGCGUCGUUCGUGAAAACUCGGGGCUUAACCCCGGGCCUGCAGUGGGUACGGGCAGACUAGAGUGCGGUAGGGGAGACUGGAAUUCCUGGUGUAGCGGUGAAAUGCGCAGAUAUCGGGAGGAACACCCGUAGCGAAGGCGGCACUCUGGGCCGGUACUGACGCUGAGGAGCGAAAGCGUGGGGAGCAAACAGG
rnacentral:rRNA from 1 species